GCGCGGGAUCUAGGCUGGCGCUCCUUGUGAGAACCUAAUACCUGGUGAGCGGUCGCUGUCUCCCAACACUCCCAGGUGAGACCGUCUAGUUGCGGGAAAACAAGCUCAGGGCUUCCCCCGAUUCUACAUGAUGGUGGCACUCCCCAUGCUUACCUCAUUCCAGCAUGACAACGCCGCAUGACUUAUGACUUGGCUGCAUGGUUCUCCAGCAGGCCCUGGCUCUCUGUAAAGUCAAGUGGAAGCUCUGGGAGCAGGACAGCAUCAGAGAACAGGGAGCAGCAAGACCUAAGCCUGCAAAAGGGACAUGGUGGCUCUGUAAGCCAUUUUCUGGUGGCCCCAGUGGAAUUUGUUUUAAGAGAGUGGGAGUUACAAGGACACAAAAAGACCAAGGCCGCUAUUCGGAGAAUCUAGCAGAGAAGUUGAAGUUGGAGCAAAGAAGGAAGUCAAGAUGUAGCAGCCGAGGAGGACCAGCUGGUGUUUCGACAAUCUGCAGAGACCUACCAGAGGGAGGAUAGGGGAACAGCAUGCUGCCUUCCACGAGGGAACCUGGCAGUAGUCAUUCCAGAAAGGAGAUACCUGAAGACUGAAUCCCUAGGAAUCUGGAACCUCUUGUCCUCUUUGGCAGCCCUGGGUGGCCUGGAAGUGAGGUGGAAAAUAUUCAACGUCCUACCGUGGAUGUGCAGAAGAAGAAAGAGAUCCUAGUUGGAACUGAAGUCAAGCGGUUGGAAUUUGCAGACGGAAAUCCUGGCAGCCUGUGGUGUUUGAGGUAUUACACAAACAUCUGAUACUUGACUCGGUUUCUCUGUGCUGCUACCAAUAGGAUACAAGAACAAAGGAAGGAUUAAGCAACGGCCAAUCAGUGACUAUUUCGUACAGGAGCCCAUGGCUGGGCCAGCUGAUGGGACCAGGGGCUGGACUUAAUUCAAUAUCACAAAGCAGGUGCAAUUUAGCAAGGUACGACGUGCCUUUCAUCUUCUGCCUUCUGCCGUGAUUGUGAGGCCCACCAGUCAUGCGGAACUGAUUUUCCCGAAUUAAACCGCCCAAUGGGUACACAAAAUCUCAGACUUUUACUUCAGGCCCUGCUGGAAGCACUCACUUGGAGAAAGGAUUGAAUAAUGAAGAUUAAAGGUUUUGAAGGCACAGGGUCUUGCUAUGUUGACUAGGCUGGUCUCAAAUUCCUGGACUCAAGAGAUCCUCCUACCAAGGCCUCCCGAGUAGCUGGGACUACAGGCAAAUCAACGAAAAAACAGAGAUUUUUCAACAAAUAAUUUCAGGACAAGUGGACAUCUGUAUUGCAAGACGUGAAUCUCAAUAUAAACUGGAUACUUUAUGCAAAAAGUAACACAAGAUACAGAGAAGGUCAUGAAGUUAAAGUAAAAGCAGAGGGACCCAGAUUCCAUAAACACUGCUGGCAGAGAGGUGUAGUGUGGCACUCAGAGGUGUACAGAUCCUGGCAGACGAUGUCUUGAGGACAAAGAGCUUUUUAAAGAACUGGGCCAUGAGGAGACGCCAUUAAAGUUUUCUCUGUGAAAAAGAAGAGGUUUAUUCUGGCUAAAAGUUAUGAUUAGUUUUGUGGUGGAUGUUCUGCCAUUCCCAUUCAACGUUAUCGUGGAUGUCCAGGUCAGCCCAGCGAGGCAGAACGCAGCAAAAAGAAAUAAAAGACGUGGAUUAGAAAGAAAUGCGUCCCUACUCUCAGAUGAUGUGGCUGUCUACCUGGAAGAUCCCAAAGAAUAUACAAAGGGAGUGCUAGAAGCAAUACCUUCCUGAGGCCCCCACCAGAAGCAGAUGCCAGCACCGUGCUUUCUGUACAGACUGCAGAACUCUGCACCUCAUCACUCACAUUCCUGCCUGAGCUCCGCCUCCUGUCAUAUCAGCGGCGGCAUUAGAUUCUCAAAGAACCAUGAACCCUAUUGUGAACUGAGCAUGCUUGGGAUCUAGGUUGCCAGCUCCUUAUGAGAAUCUAAUGCCUUCAGAUCUGUCACUGUCUGCCAUCAUCCCCAGAUGGGACCAUCUAGUUGAAAGAAAACCAGCUCAGGGCUCCCGCUGAUUCUACAUGGUGGCCACAGGGACCCCUGCCUCCCUCCAAACUCCUCUGGUUUUUUAAAAAAGGAUCUCACAUUGGGAGGCUUUGAAAUAGAGAGAUUAUCCUUAACAACAGAAGAGGGAAUCUGAAGAGGUGUCGAAGAGAUGGCGGUUUGAGGACUCGGCUAAAUGUUACUUGCUUUGAAGAAGGAGGAAGGGGCCAUAAGAUUCAAAACUAUCUCCUGGACUCUGCAAGUCUGGACUUUUCCCUCUUCAUGGCUCAUACAGAUUGGAAGAACUGCUUUCUACUUGUUUUCAAACUUUGCUACGAAUUUCUUAAGAGGUAUGAAAAGUUCAGCGCUGGUUAACUGGUCAUUUUGGUUUUGCCUCUGCCAAUUCUUUCUAAACGCAAUUUUGUGUUUGAACCAACUUUGUUAAAAUUGUGAAAGAUAGCCAUGGUUGCUAAGAGAAGCUGCCAGGGUGUUGCCAUGGGAACAAUUGUUUUAAAAUCAGGAAUAAUGGGCUUAGUUAAGAGCUAAGGUGAAGAAGGCAGGGGAGAAGCUACCCCUCACUUCCUCCCGGUGAGGGAAAACAGCCUCGGGUUUCCUGCCAAUUCCAUAUAUUCAGUAGAUGUUGCUGUGCGACUCCGUGAAGGACAAUAGUAAAUGCAUGAGUUUUGGGUUCAAACACACUCUUGGGUCUGAAUUCCUGAUUCGCCACGUUGCUGUCUGCAAGAUCGAGGGUGACCUAUGGAACAUCCCUGGGAUGUUAAUCAUGAAAUGGGGUUUUCAGUAGAAUUUAUCUUCGAGAUUUGGAGUAAUUACAUGGGAGGACAUAUGUGAUUUGUCUAGCACAAGGCCUGGAGAGUAAUGGAAAGGCAAUAAUUAAUAGAGCUAUUAUACCGAGACGAGAGACAGUCUGUGAUUGCAGGACUCUGGAUGGUUUUUCCCAAGCCAACCUGGUGAAAGAUUUCCAGUCCAUCAGCCACUGAUACGUGGUCCUGCUGGAUGUGACUGGUAGGCAGCUCAGCCCACAUAUGACUCCUCCUUGAGUCAGCCAUACCUGAAAUUGUCGAUACCUUGCACAGCAAGGCAAAUCUGGUGUUUCUGCACUCGGCGAUGGUGGCAAUGCCAUCACAGUUUUGACGUACUUGCCAUCAGUUUCUGCUCUUUUCCUUGUGGUCCAAUAACAAGCAGUCAUGGAUUGGCACCAGCUGUGAGGGGCACUGGCACUGGUCUGGAUUCCGUCUGAUCAUGCUGGGCAGUAGCUGUUUGCUCUUUCUGAUUUCACCCAUGGGUGACUGGUUAGAAGGCCAAGAGGGCAGAGGUCCCAGGGCCAUGCCUGGGGUGAGCUGGCAUGAAGGCCAUAAAUAGGCAGAGGGAAUUUGAAGACCGUUGAUUUUCAGAGCUGCUACUAUAAAGGAAAAAGACUCCAUUGAGUGCAGAGAACCAAACCUACCACGUUGAGCUGGGCAAGUAGCUAAAUGUUGGAUGGAACUGGGAGGGCUGAGCAGGAGAGAGCCAGGAGAAGGAUCAAGUGUCAGCAUAAGGAUAACAGGAGACAAGGUGGGGUACCAGUGUUUGGAGAAGGUGGCCCUGGGAGCAGCUCUGCCUUGGUUUGGCAAACCCAAGGGGCAAUGGUGUGAUGGUGUCUGAGCAACUUGGCCCAUAAGCUCAGCCAAUUUGAACGACACAACCUGCUACUACCAGAAUCUACCUUCUGAGAGUUUACAAGAUAAGUUUCUGUUUGGUCCCAGAGUCGAGAAAUAUCACACCUCUCUGGGAUAAUUGGUCUGUUUCUGUCUGAUGCUUGGAGUGGUGGAGCUACUCAGGGAUCCUUUUGUUCACUUGGCUACUUAAACCUUAGGGCCAAAUAUAUGGCCACUCAGAGCACCUGCAUGGUCUCUGGGGGUCUGUGUGUUUAAGAUUCAGUCCUGGAUUUGUUUUAUGUUUUGACUCUGGUUUGUCUUUCUUACCUACACUUGAAAAAUGGGUCUUGCUUCUGACAUAAAAAGAAAAAUGAUGUUUUUAAGUGUGAUUUUUCUUGAUUUUACAAAUAAUUUUUAAUUUUAAUUUUAAUUUUUUUUGAGACAGGGUCUCACUGUGUUGCCCAGGUUGGGGUGCAGCGGCAUGAUCAUACCUCACUGCAGCCUCUACCUCCUGGUCUCAAGCAGUCCUCCCACUCUGGCCUCCCAAAGUGCUGAGAUUACAGGCAUGAGCCACUGCACCCAACUACAGAUAAUGUUUUAAAUUUGAAAAUACAUAGUAUAAACCAUGGUGUAGUAAAAUCCACGAGCAAAUCUCUGUACACAGUGUAUCUGUAAUGCACUACUGGAUACUAUAUCUAUAGUAUAAUCUCUGAUCGGAUCUGUAAUCAGGAUAGCACAACAUGCAAAGUGGAAAAUGUAGACAAACACAAGCAGCUCGGCUCUAAUCCCACUGCAAUCAACAUUUUGGGACAUAUGUUCACUUUACAGUCAGCCUGUGAUGGAAACCAGUUCUCGGCCUUCUCACCCAGUUCCCAUGAACUUGCUGGUCCAGAUGCCGAGGCUAGAGAAGGAUUUCCCUCUGGAAAUGUAACUGCAUUUGAGAAUGAUUAUAGAGGCCAUGCAUAGUACACACUGCCUCCCCAGACAACAAGGAAAUCCAACAAAACCUGAACGAAAACUGGCUUAACAAUGGCUUUCUUUUUUUGGGCAUGGUGACUCAUGUCUGUAAUCCCAGUAUUUUGGGAAGCUGAGGCCAGAGGAUCACUUAAGCCCAGGAGUUUGAGACCAGCCUGGGCAACAUAGUGAGACCAUUCUCUAAAAGAGUAAAAAAUUUAAAAAAAUUCAAAAAGCCAAAUAAUAGUUUCAAAGAGCUUAAAAAAAAAGAUACUUUCUUUUUUAAUGACUACUAGCAGCCAUUAUUAACUGAUUAUUUGCUGUUAGCCUAUUUCAAUGAAUUCUGGAAUUUUCCAACAAAUUUAUGUGGAUGAACAACUAGGAUAGGAGCAAAAGUAAGAAAAAGAACACCAAGGAGCAAUUUGACAUACAAAGUAGUUGUUGAGUUGCAUCUUUUCACACCUUAAAGAGGAAGAGAGGCCAGGUGUGGUGGCUCAUGCCUGUAAUCCUAACACUUUGGGAGGCCAAGGUAGACAGAUUGCCCGAGCUCAGGAGUUUGAGACCAGCCUGGACAACACAGUGAAACCUUGUCUCUACUAAAAUACAAAACAUUAGCUGGGUGUGGUGGCAUAUGCCUGUAGUCCCAGCUACUCAGGAGGCUGAGGCAGGAGAAUUGCUUGAACCCAGGAGGCAGAGGUUGCAGUGAGCCAAGAUCAUGCUACUGUGCUCCAGCCUGGGUGACAGAGUGAGACUUCACCACAAAAAAUAAAUAAACAAACAAAUAAAUAAAAUAAAAGAUGAAGGGUACAAAGAAGAAUGAAUUGUUUACUAUGGCAUUAUUGCAUUAAUUUAAAGUUUUAUUAGCCUAUAUUCAGGCAAUGCUUUGGAGCCUAAAAAAUGUCGGAGGAGGCCAGGCAUGGUGGCUCACGCCUAUAAUCUCAGCACUUUGGGAGGCUGAGUUGGGUGGAUCACGAGGUCAGGAGUUCAAGACCAGCCUGGACAAUAUGGUGAAACCCCAUCUCUACUACAAAUACAAAAAUUAGCUGGGUGUGGUGGUGGGCACCUGUAGUCCCAGCUACUUGGAAGGCCGAGGCAGGAGAAUCCCUUGAACCUGGGAAGCUGAGGUUGCAGUGAGUGGAGAUUGUGCCACUGCCCUCCAGCCUGGGGGCAGAGUGAGACUCUAUCUCAAAAAAUAAAUGUCAGAGGGAAUGCUUUUUCUACAUCUAAAAUAAUCAGUAAAGUCAGAUGCCACAGGCCUUAGUUCAUCUGUUCAUUCACUCAUGAUUUGAACGAAGCGACACUCUUCAAGAACCAGAGAUAACUUACUCAGGUCCCUACCUUCAGGAAACUUCCAUUCUGGUGGGAAGACCCCAUGCUGAAUUUUAACUUAGUUUUGCCUCUCUGGGAGUUUUGGUAGCAAAGAGAGAAAAACAAAGUCAAUGUAAGAAAGCAGGAGAUGGGGAACCCAAAUGAGUAGAAUUUCUCCAGACAGAGAGGGAGCGGCCAGGACCAGGAAGAUAAUGCACUGCAGACAGCACAAAGAUCACAGCUGGCGGUAUCACCAUUGGUCUGAUCUACUCUGAGUGUGGCUGGAGGGACUGAAUGAAAGGGUCAGAGGGAGCAGCAGCUUCCUGCUGUCCGUAGUCUCUGGGACAGCUCAUCUCCCAGUUUCCGCACGUUCAUAUCUAGUUCCCUGUUGUUUAAUUCCCAUGGUGGCACUGCCUGGCAUGGGCUGCUUUCUGGACAGCAUGCAGUGGAGAGAUGGCGAAGGAAUUCAGUAGUUGGUAAGUACCCAAUAAAUGUCAGCUAUUUUUAUUAUCAAUGCAACUGGCUGCUCUAUUUCUAUAAAGUUACAGUCACUUGAAUGUGUGUGUUGGUUAGAGAGUGGGCAUGGAAGCUUAACAGCGAAAGAGAAGCCGAUCCAUACUGGAUGGCAUAUUUUAAUUGUAAUCCCCAUGAAAAUUUCUCUGUGGCAUUGACAAGUGAACAUCUUUCUUCGUGACAACUCGUCUUGAGAGAACUGUAGCUUCUGUCUUGCUAGGCUCCGGUCGCCCGCCUAGGACUCAGCUCUCAGGGGAACAAGAGGACAAUGUAAAGAGAAGUGAACCCAGCUGCCAUGUUUCUCCAGGGUCCAGGUGGCAGUCCUGCCUCUGCAUCCUUCUCAACAGGGGAUCAUGUGGCUUCACUUUUCCUAAACCCUCCAGCAAAGAGUAUUAUCCCGGCUAGGCAUGGUGGCUCACACCUGUAAUCCCAGCACUUUGGGAGGCAGAGGCAGGUAUAUCAUGAGGUCAGGAUUUUGAGCUGGUGAAUAUGGUGAAACCCCGUCUCUACUAAAAUUCCAAAAAUUAGGCAGGCUCGGUGGUGCAUGCCUGUGAUCCCAGUUGUUCAGGAGGCCGAGGCAGGAGAAUCACUUGAACCAGGGUGGUGGAGGUCACAGUGAGCUGAGAUCAUGCCACUGCACUCUAGCUUGGAUGACAGAGGGAGACUCCAUCUCAAAAAAAAAAAAAAAAAGGAGUAUAUCCCACCCAAAGGCCAGCACAUGAAUGCAGAAUCAUUUGGUUAGAAAGUCAUCCCUUCCAUUUUUGCCUUUUGUGGGGGAUUGCUGAUGUAUCUGGGAUUGGAGCAUGACAAACACACCACGCCACGAUGCGUAAAACCCGUAACAUUUAUGUUUUGAAAUGUCAGACCUUCGAGUUUAAAAACAGACUUUAAAGAGCUUGAGAACCUUGCAGUUAAUCAGAACUCUCUGCUCAGAAUGAAAGCACAGAAUGGGUUGGUGUGUCUCGACACACAGAUGGAUAUGGCUGGAUCUAAUUACUUUUUCUCUGUGGUGCUCAAACACCCAUUUGUUUGAUGCUUCUACCCUCUAUUUUGUUAUUUAUUGCUUGGCAUUUGGUAGGCAUAGCCCAGUAUUGCAGGGGGUUUGCAAAUCAUUUUUUAAAAAUUGGUGCUGCUGCCUGGGCACAGUGCUUCAUGCCUGUAGUCCCAGCACUUUGGGAGGCCGAGGCAGGCAGAUCACAAGAUCAGGAGUUUGAGACCAGCCAGGCCAACGUGAUGAAACCCCGUCUCUACUAAAAAUACAAAAAUUAGCUGGGCAUGGUGGUGGGUAUCUGUAAUCCCAGCUACUUGGGAGGCUGAGGCAGGAGAAUUGUUUGAACCAUGACCCGGGAGGCAGAGGUUGCAGUGAGCCAAGAUUGCACCACUGCAUUCCAGCCUGGGCUACAGAGCAAGACUCCAUCUAAAAGAAAAAAAAAUUGGUGCUGCUGUUGUAUGCAGAACAAAAUCCACUGUAGUUUGAUCACGAUGAGAUCGGGUUCUCGUCUUACAAUCACUGAUCGAUUGAUUGACUCAUAGCCAGGGAUUAGAUUCUUUUGCUUGGUCACCUGGUUUCUGUCUUAGAAACUGCAGGAGUCUCUGCCUUGGUUCUUUUGAUUAACGUCUAAGAUUUACCCCGAAUAUUUGUCCCCUUCCAUGGAAAUUCUCUCCUGACUUUAUUCCUCAGACUUCUUUAUUAUGCAGUCAAGAUGCAUGCAUUGAGUUCUUACUCUGUGCUAGACACUAAGGGGAUGGAGAGAAACAGGCCAUUGUUGCUAACCUUUGGGAGCUCACACUGGGGCUUUGACAGAAGUCUGGGCUGCGUGGAGACACAGAUGGAGGAAGGCAGUAGAGAGCAGGCAGCCAACACAGCUUGGGCGGUAGGAGAGGCUGAUGGGGAGGCUUUGGGGUAUUUUCCUUUUUGGAAAUUGACCAUUUUCUGAUUUAGAAUCUACAUAAUGUUGGUCAGGUGCAGUGUCUUUCGCCUGCAAUCCUGGCACCUUGGGAGGUCAAAGUGGGAGGUCAGAUUGAGGCCAGGAGUUUGGCCUCAUAAUAAGACUCCAUCUCUACAGAAAACAAACAAACAAAACAUCAGCUGGGUGUGCUGGUGUGCACCUAUAGUCUCAGCUACUUAGGAAGCCAAGGUAGGGGAUACUUUGAGGCCAGGAGAUUGAGGCUGCAGUGAGCUAUGAUGGCACCACUGCACUCCAGCCUAGGUGACAGAGUAAGACUCUGUCUCAAAAAAAAAAAAAAGAGAAAAGAAAAAGGAUUUCAGAGAAUGUAAUUUAAGGCAAUUGAAAUUCUAUUUCUUCCUACACAUGAGAUCAGAAAGGAGUUAAAAACACACUGUGCCAAUCUGGCAGAGUGAAAAUAACUUUGAAACUUGGGGACAUCAGAACCCCUCUGUAAAAUGGGGAUUUUCAGGAUCAGGCUUGACACCAUGUGUAUAAAGUUCACAUUUAGAAAAGCCUUAUCUUAUGAACCAAAUAGG